UGUUGUAGAAGUGACUGUUGAGCUCAUGAAAGGUAUUAUUGCAUUAAACUGAAAAUCGUCUGACAAGGUAUGGUCUUCUAAUGAUAUUUCACACCUUUUCAUCAGUGUGUGCUGAAGACAUUUGAGAAAAGCAUGGAUUUAAAUAAAUUCCACCCUCGACUGUUAGUAUAACUGGAAAAUUUUAUUUAUAUGCUACAUAAGGGCAUUAUAUCUAGCAAAGAAUGUCAACUUCGAACUGAAGCUGCGCAAAAGAGAGAGGAGACAAAAAUUAUUUCUGAGUCCAGUUGCAGCAUUUGAAAAAGAGUAUUCUCAAGGGCUGAAGUCUCAAUUUCAGCAUAUUUAGUUUUAGGCACCCUAAGCAGCACGUUUUAUAUUAUCAGUGAUCCACUCAGUGACAAGUACAAUAUAUUGUUUCAGCUGGCUGCCUGAGCAUGUUACAUUACUUGCUCAUUUUGUUUCGGAGCCAUCACCUGUUAAAUCCACGGUCACAAAAGCAGUUGCAGAAUUCCGACGGACGCAUGCUGACACCUGGAAUAUCCAAAAAGAUGCUUUUAGUGAAGACCAGCUGGAGGUUCUUGCAGAUACAUCCUCCUCAUCAUCAUAUUUCGCUUAAUAUAAUUCUUCCUGCCAGAGAGAUAGCGGAGACAUGUACAGGGAAAAUUAUUGGAACAUAGGGCAGUGUUCUCUACUGCCUCGACAAAUUUAUUAUGAAUUUAUUUACAUAUCUUUGUCAGUUCGAGAACAUUAUUAUUUUUACAUGAAUAAGAUGUUCUUGCCCGUUGGUGGUCAUUCUGUGCUCUUCCUUAGACCAUUGGACUCAUUAGUUCUUCAGAUGGUAAAUCCCACAAAACGCAGUCUGAAUUGAAAAGGGUGGCCCCAUCUCUCAUUUCUUUUCCACCCUUCCAGUCUUGACCAUUUUCAUCUUCGAGUUUCUCAUCCAGCUGGCAUUGUCGGUCUCCUGUUGCACUGCUUCCAGGGCACAUGCUCUGGUUCCAUGCAGAUCCAUUUCCUUCAUUGACAAGGGAUGAAAGGCCAUAAUGAAACCCGGAAUCUGGGGCAGCAAAUGCAUUGCAGCUUCCAGCAAAAUUUGCGGGUCCUGCUACAACAGGGUCCCAAGGCUUGUUUGUAGCUGCCAAUACGUUUCUUGGUGAGGAGGUGGAGCAUCUCAUCCUUGAAACACCCUAAGGCUGCUUCUGCCAAGUGGGGAACUUGCGGUGGAGCCAGAGUGGUGGCAAUCUCAGUAAUGAGGUGAGAGAAAGGCUUGUGAGUGACGGGAUCGAUACCCAUGCCUGAUAGCUUCUUUUUGAGCUUGGUAUUCCAAUGGUUUUUGACAUCGUUAUCGGUGCGACCAGGCAGCUGAGCUGCAAUCACAGACCAUCUGUUGUACCAAAAUGAUAAAAGCUAAUCUUUUAGAGAAAAAUCGUACUUCAAAACAAAGUAGAAAUUCUAGGUUGUUUUGUUACAUAAUUAUAGAUAUAUGAAAUGAGAUACCUAUUCCCCAGAACUGAAUGCAGAGUGACGAUGGUCUGCUCUUCUGCAUCCGAGAAUUGGCCGUGCUUAAGGUCAGGACGGAGGUAGUUGGUCCACCGUAAUCUGCAGCUCUUUCCACAUCUCUGUAAACCUGACAAAGAGUGGCAAUGCGUUACCGCCAUGAAAGUCACACACUGCCCGCAUUACUCUCAUUUAAACUUGUAGUAAUAUUCUACUCUUUGUAGCUGA